GAUGAACGCUGGCGGCGUGCCUAAUACAUGCAAGUCGAGCGAACAGAUAAGGAGCUUGCUCCUUUGACGUUAGCGACGGACGGGUGAGUAACACGUGGAUAACCUACCUAUAAGACUGGGAUAACUUCGGGAAACCGGAGCUAAUACCGGAUAACAUAUUGAACCGCAUGGUUCAAUAGUGAAAGGCGGCUUUGCUGUCACUUAUAGAUGGAUCCGCGCCGUAUUAGCUAGUUGGUAAGGUAACGGCUUACCAAGGCAACGAUACGUAGCCGACCUGAGAGGGUGAUCGGCCACACUGGAACUGAGACACGGUCCAGACUCCUACGGGAGGCAGCAGUAGGGAAUCUUCCGCAAUGGGCGAAAGCCUGACGGAGCAACGCCGCGUGAGUGAUGAAGGUCUUCGGAUCGUAAAACUCUGUUAUCAGGGAAGAACAAAUGUGUAAGUAACUGUGCACAUCUUGACGGUACCUGAUCAGAAAGCCACGGCUAACUACGUG
rnacentral:rRNA from 1 species